GACACUACGAGAUGACAAGAAGACAAUUGGAUGCAAAUGGUGUUUACUUUGAAGUAUAAUUCAGAUGGGUCAAUUGAAAGGUACAAUGCUCGCUUGGUGGCUAAAGGCUCUACUCAGAACUAAGCAAUUCCCUAGAGCUUGGUUUGAAAAAUUCACUCAGUCCAUGAAGAAACGUACAUCCAAGGACAUGCUGACCACACCUUGUUCACAAAGUUCUCCCAUGAUGGAAAAGAUGAUGCCCUAAUUGUUUAUGUUGAUGAUAUUGUCCUUACUGGAGACAAUACAGUGGAAAUGACAAGAGUAAAAGAGAAAUUGGCAGUAGACUUUGAAGUCAAUGACUUGCGAUUUAUGAGACAUUUUCUAGGUACCCCUAUGGAUCCUAAUGCUAAACUUUGGGGAUAAGGUAAUGUUCCUGUUGAUACUGGAAGAUAUCAGAGAUUGGUUGGGAAACUGAUUCAUUUGUCACACACCCGACUUGAUAUUGCUUUCUCAGUUAGUGCAGUAAGUCAGUUUAUCCAUUCUCCUUUCGAGGAACAUCUUGAGGCAGUCUAUAGGAUAUUGAGAUAUUUGAAGGGAAAUAUCGGAAAAAGACUUACUUUUUAAGAAGACUAGUGAAAGAAAUGUGUUUGUCUUCACCGAUGCUGAUUGGGCAGGUUCAAACACAUAUAGAAGAUCAAUCUUUGGAUACUGUACCUAUGUUUGGGAUAAUCUUGUGACAUGGAGGAGCAAGAAACAAGGAGUUAUAUCAAGGAGUAGUGCAGAAGCCGAGUUUAGAGCUAUGC